rnacentral:rRNA from 1 species
ACUCCUGCGGGAGGCAGCAGUGGGGAAUAUUGCACAAUGGGCGCAAGCCUGAUGCAGCGACGCCGCGUGGGGGAUGAAGGCCUUCGGGUUGUAAACUCCUUUCGCUAGGGACGAAGCUUUUUUGUGACGGUACCUAGAUAAGAAGCACCGGCUAACUACGUGCCAGCAGCCGCGGUAAUACGUAGGGUGCGAGCGUUGUCCGGAAUUACUGGGCGUAAAGGGCUCGUAGGUGGUUUGUCGCGUCGUCUGUGAAAUUCUGGGGCUUAACUCCGGGCGUGCAGGCGAUACGGGCAUAACUUGAGUGCUGUAGGGGUAACUGGAAUUCCUGGUGUAGCGGUGAAAUGCGCAGAUAUCAGGAGGAACACCGAUGGCGAAGGCAGGUUACUGGGCAGUUACUGACGCUGAGGAGCGAAAGCAUGGGUAGCGAACAGGAUUAGAAACCCCUGUAGUCCCAUGA